rnacentral:rRNA from 1 species
UACCAGCACCCCGAGUGGUCGGGACGAUUAUUGGGCCUAAAGCAUCCGUAGCCGGCCUUACAAGUCCUCCGUUAAAUCCAGCUGCUUAACAGAUGGGCUGCGGAGGAUUCUAUAAGACUAGGAGGCAGGAGAGGCAAGCGGUACUCAGUGGGUAGGGGUAAAAUCCGUUGAUCCAUUGAAGACCACCAGUGGCGAAGGCGGCUUGCCAGAAUGCGCUCGACGGUGAGGGAUGAAAGCUGGGGGAGCAAACCGG